AUUGAACGCUGGCGGCAGGCCUAACACAUGCAAGUCGAACGGUAACAGGAAGAAGCUUGCUUCUUUGCUGACGAGUGGCGGACGGGUGAGUAAUGUCUGGGAAACUGCCUGAUGGAGGGGGAUAACUACUGGAAACGGUAGCUAAUACCGCAUAACGUCGCAAGACCAAAGAGGGGGAUCUUCGGGCCUCUUGCCAUCGGAUGUGCCCAGAUGGGAUUAGCUAGUAGGUGGGGUAACGGCUCACCUAGGCGACGAUCCCUAGCUGGUCUGAGAGGAUGACCAGCCACACUGGAACUGAGACACGGUCCAGACUCCUACGGGAGGCAGCAGUGGGGAAUAUUGCACAAUGGGCGCAAGCCUGAUGCAGCCAUGCCGCGUGUAUGAAGAAGGCCUUCGGGUUGUAAAGUACUUUCAGCGGGGAGGAAGGGAGUAAAGUUAAUACCUUUGCUCAUUGACGUUACCCGCAGAAGAAGCACCGGCUAACUCCGUG
rnacentral:rRNA from 1 species